rnacentral:sRNA from 1 species
UUGACAUCCUUGUUGUCUGAAGUGCUCUAUUUAUCCACAAAAUAAGAACAGCACAGAUAGCAGCAGGCCAGGCUUUUGACAUAUACCGACCCCUGCCCUGGAAGGACCAUUUCUAGGAGUGAGAGGAAAGUUGGUCUUUAUGUCGCACAUUCAGUUUUCAGCCACU